UUGAUCAUGGCUCAGAUUGAACGCUGGCGGCAUGCCUUACACAUGCAAGUCGAACGGCAGCAUGAUCUAGCUUGCUAGAUUGAUGGCGAGUGGCGAACGGGUGAGUAAUACAUCGGAACGUGCCCUGUAGUGGGGGAUAACUAGUCGAAAGAUUAGCUAAUACCGCAUACGACCUGAGGGUGAAAGUGGGGGACCGCAAGGCCUCAUGCUAUAGGAGCGGCCGAUGUCUGAUUAGCUAGUUGGUGAGGUAAAGGCUCACCAAGGCGACGAUCAGUAGCUGGUCUGAGAGGACGAUCAGCCACACUGGGACUGAGACACGGCCCAGACUCCUACGGGAGGCAGCAGUGGGGAAUUUUGGACAAUGGGGGCAACCCUGAUCCAGCAAUGCCGCGUGUGUGAAGAAGGCCUUCGGGUUGUAAAGCACUUUUGUCCGGAAAGAAAUCGCACUUACUAAUAUUAGGUGUGGAUGACGGUACCGGAAGAAUAAGGACCGGCUAACUACGUGCCAGCAGCCGCGGUAAUACGUAGGGUCCAAGCGUUAAUCGGAAUUACUGGGCGUAAGCGUGCGCAGGCGGUUGUGCAAGACCGAUGUGAAAUCCCCGGGCUUAACCUGGGAAUUGCAUUGGUGACUGCACGGCUAGAGUGUGUCAGAGGGGGGUAGAAUUCCACGUGUAGCAGUGAAAUGCGUAGAGAUGUGNNNNNAUACNGAUGNCGAAGCAGCCCCUGGNNNNACACUGACGCUCAUGCACGAAAGCGUGGGAGCAAACAGGAUUAGAUACCCUGGUAGUCCACGCCCUAAACGAUGUCAACUAGUUGUUGGGGAUUCAUUUCCUUAGUAACGUAGCUAACGCGUGAAAGUUGACCGCCUGGGGAGUACGGUCGCAAGAUUAAAACUCAAAGGAAUUGACGGGGACCCGCACAAGCGGUGGAUGAUGUGGAUUAAUUCGAUGCAACGCGAAAAACCUUACCUACCCUUGACAUGCCACUAACGAAGCAGAGAUGCAUUAGGUGCUCGAAAGAGAAAGUGGACACAGGUGCUGCAUGGCUGUCGUCAGCUCGUGUCGUGAGAUGUUGGGUUAAGUCCCGCAACGAGCGCAACCCUUGUCUCUAGUUGCUACGAAAGGGCACUCUAGAGAGACUGCCGGUGACAAACCGGAGGAAGGUGGGGAUGACGUCAAGUCCUCAUGGCCCUUAUGGGUAGGGCUUCACACGUCAUACAAUGGUGCAUACAGAGGGUUGCCAAGCCGCGAGGUGGAGCUAAUCCCAGAAAAUGCAUCGUAGUCCGGAUCGUAGUCUGCAACUCGACUACGUGAAGCUGGAAUCGCUAGUAAUCGCGGAUCAGCAUGCCGCGGUGAAUACGUUCCCGGGUCUUGUACACACCGCCCGUCACACCAUGGGAGUGGGUUUUGCCAGAAGUAGUUAGCCUAACCGCAAGGGGGG
rnacentral:rRNA from 1 species